AAUCCGCACAUGCGUGUUUGGACCCACGCUUUGAAUCAGAGGGACGGUUGGGCUUGUCACGGAGGAGAUGCAUGGCUGGAUUUUCUCGUGUUUAAGGAAGGCUUUGGAUUCACUGCAGAAUAAACAGGAGUGUAAAUUGAUGAGCAUACAGAAGGAGUGAUUGGUCUCAUUCUCAUAUUCAGGGUGACCUAACUCUGACGACGAGCCAAUACAGUGGACACUUGAGGUGUGGGGAGGAAGACAGACUGAUGGUUUUCAUCUUAGAUGCAGUUUUGGUUAUAUCAGUACUACCUAGCUCUGUCAGGUUAAAACCUCAUCUUGUUCUGUUUAAGUAUUUUCUUUUUCUAUAUUUGAUACCUCCUGCGGUCGAAACUGUGUAUGGUGCAGCAAAUGCAGUUCAUGUUGGUAAUGGAGAUUGAAUUGUAUUACAGAACAGCAGACACUUGAAGUAGCAUUCAGUCAUACUUUAUUUUUUUCUAUUUUCAAUAGACCAAAUAUCACCAGUGGAGGUACACAUGUUUUGUUGAUUAAUGGCACUUUUUUAUGAGGCUUUACUGCACCUUUAAAAACUUGUGUCCAGACUUUAGUAGGUCAUGUGAAUGUGACUGAUUCACU